GUGCUCGCUUUGGCAGCAUGUAUACUAAAGUUGGAACGAUACAGAGAAGAUUAGCAUGGCCUCUGCAUAAGGAUGACAAGCAAAUUCGUGAAGUGUUCCAUAUUUUU
rnacentral:snRNA from 1 species